GCGGCACAGAGAGGCGCAUCACUCAGGCAACUUAACUUUAGGCAACUAGGGCUGUAUGACGGUUAGGUGAUGGGAGUGUUUGCCGAGGUGUGAAUUCACUAGACUGGAAUGAACAUCGGCUGAGUCAGGUUGAAUCCUAUCAGCUGUCAUUUGAUUUUAAUUCAAUCAAAUGGAGUGCUCUGAUUGAA
rnacentral:ncRNA from 2 species